GGGCCCGUAGCUUAGUCUGGUUAGAGCGCUCGGCUCAUAACCGAGCGGUCAAGAGUUCAAAUCUCUUCAGGCCCA
rfam:Candidatus Altiarchaeum sp. CG2_30_32_3053 cg_3.0_sub100_scaffold_392_c, whole genome shotgun sequence.